UCCCAAUAAUGGCACAACUAAGCUACAAACCAAGCCAACAGUGACAUCUUCCCCAUCCACAACUGGGAAAGCCACCAAAGUUGUUGCCUGGGACCCGGAGCAGGAUAAAGAU